rnacentral:lncRNA from 1 species
UUCGCUUUACUUUGAGUCAUUCACCCCCCUUUAAAGUUUUUGGUUCCUCCAUUCUCCCCGCAAGCCGUGUCUUGUAGGAACACUCAGCCGGCAUGCCACUUUCCGUCACGAUUCCGUCCAAAAGCCUUUGAUCCACCUAGGAAGCCUUCCUUUCGGUCCCAACACUUCCAAGCUUCAUAACCUCUGCGCUUACGUUUGUUCUUCUGCUUCACAGGUGCAAUAUAACACGAAGCUCUUCGCCAAGCUCGCGAUGGAAAACUUUGCUGUCCUUGUCCAUGCAUUCUGCAGUAACGACCAAGAAGAGAUCACGAGUUUGUGCCUGCAAUCCAAAUCAGUGCAGCGAGCUGCUUUGAAAGCGUACUCGGAGAUACAGAGAAGAAAAGUAACGUACCUCAGAGAAGGAAACUCUCUCAUACUGACAGUGUGUGCUACAUACAGGUUGAAACAGCUUGGGAGCCUGGGGUUUUGGUUCAAGCAAGGAGUCAAGGUGAAAACGUGAGCCGAAUGAUAACCAACAUGAAUCAGUACCUGAUUGGGAUGAACAUCGCGAUUCAGCAAGGUGCAGCUGUUUCGAAGCUGGUUCAAGAUAUGACGAGGAACUCCUUGGAGAAACUCGGGAGCUGGAGCAACUCUUUUCUG